AAGCCCUGUGCUUGGUGUUGGACGGCCGGUCGAGCGAUCGACCCCUCCUAAAGACAAUGACGGCGGCCUGUGGAUCCCCCGGUACACUGAGCUUUUAACUGAGCACGUACCGGACAAGCGCCCAGGACCCGGUCCUCUCCUUUAACUAGGAAACUUCUAAGGUUGACCUCGGAUCAGGUAGGAAUACGCGCUGAACUUAA
rnacentral:misc_RNA from 1 species